UAGGUUUCUCUCUCAUCUUGGCAUUUCACUU
rnacentral:piRNA from 1 species